rnacentral:misc_RNA from 1 species
UUGCUUCCGUCGGUGUAUAAUUUUUUGUUGGGUUUUUUUUCAACAAAUUAAACAAUUUACAACUUGCUUUUGUUCGAUAAAAUGGUCUGUUCUCGUAAGAGAACCUAAUCUUGGAUGGAAAUCCGUAAUGGAGUUUAAUGAUAUUCACACAAAUGAGGUAUUAGGCCCGGUAGACGUUAAUUUUUAUGCAGAAAUAUCUGUUAGUCCUACACCUGUUCUAUCAACCACAACAAUUUGCGACUUGGAGGACAUUUUGAGCGACGCUAUAUCAGAAUCUCUUCAAGGUUCAUUACGAAUAAGCCGCAGUCAGUUGAUAAACCAAGAGCUGACAAUACGACCAGAGGCCAAUAUAGAAGCCAACGUGCCAGAAGGCUUGGAUCUUUAUAAAGUUAUAUUUGAAGUUGAGAGUGAUUCCGAAUCAAAAAUGGGUGAUGUUGAUGAUGCUGCUGUCCAACAGAACACAGUAAAGGAGCAGGAUUCGUGCCGACUCGUUGGCGGGUCGAAGUUCUAUGAGGUGAUGGAAGGAUCGUCGGCCGACGCCUCCACACCUUCGCCCACAGAGAAACAUGACCAUAUGAAGCCUAUUGAAAGCGACGAUGAAGUGUCAGAUGUAGACCAGGAAUGCACUGUGUUCAGCGGGGUCAGUUACCUCGGGGCACAGAAUAUAGCGGACCCGAAGUCGGAGAGUGAUAUCCAGCGCAUCAUGAAGGAAUUAAGUUCCAUGCCGGAGAGCAGAGACGGCAUCGCUGUUUCUAUAUCUAUACCUGUGUGCUCACAGGGACUGGUUGUAUUAUACCAGGCCGACUCCAACAGCGUGAUGACGCGUUACGCCGUCAACCGGAUAUCGUUCUACGCUCGUGGUGCAGCCGGCUCGCCAGUUGCCUCCUGCUUCGCGUUCACUUGGUCCCAUGGAGAGACCAAGGAGUCGGCGGUGUACCGCUGUCACGUGUUCCGUUGCCAUAUUGCUGAAGCUGUGAAUCAGGUGUCAAGUUGUUUCGCGAAAGCGUUUGAACGCAUUCCGCGUUCCAUGGCGUCGUCGUUGGUCGGCGAGUUGAGCGCAGCGCCAUCUAUGACCGGGUCCCUAACCGAAACGUUGGGCCCUGCUGUGCCUUCAAUGCAGCUUAUGCAUGUUUUGGAGUGCACUGUUGAUAUUAAAGAGACUGAUGCAAAGGGAACAUUUAGUCACGUACCCAAAGAGCGUCUCGGCUUCAAGUUAAGGGGCGGCAUAGAUAAGCAAGUGACAAUCAACGUACAGCAAGUCACUAACAAUGUACAGAUUGAGCCGGACGAUUUACAAACCUCAUACAUUGGCGGACUGUACAUUGAAAGAUGUUUCGGUAUACUCCUCGCGCCGGGCCGAAGCGUGAAACACUCCGAUAUGAGACUGUUGGAAAUGGUGAGCGGUUCAGCAGGCGGGUCCAGUUGUUCAGUUUGCGCGCUCUGGAACGCGGGCGAGUCGGCCCUGGCUGCGUUCAAUGUAGCCAGCGGGGAGGGUGCGCCGGCCUACAUGUCGCUCGCACUCGACCUAGUCAUUAGAGGCAUACCGGAUCCAUUGCGGUUGGUAAUUGAAACCCCAGUAAAAAUCUUUCCGCCAACAGAGAGAUUUUGGUACUAUUUUAAAAGGCCGCUCGUGCAACAGUUCUACAUAAAUCUCAAAGAAAAUACAGAUACAUUAGGCCAGUUGCAGUAUGAAGUGGCAAAUGUGGAGACGUCGGGGGAGCUGGACAGGUCGCGACUGAACCUUCCGCUGUCAUUGUCUAGUCUGCUCCCUUCCCCUUUAUCCACCGCGCCCGCACCGCCAUCCCCUUCAGAACCGGACUCAGAUGGCGAUGAACCUUUAUUAAGUGGCACUGGUGAAGUAUCAAAAGACUGUGGAGAGGAUGUUUUAGUCAAUUGGGCACAAGUUCUCAGGAGUUGGACCGGCCCUCGUCCUCGCGCUCUAAAUCAGCUGGUUCGCGUGGGUGUGCCGGAGGCGUUGCGAGGUGAAGUCUGGCUGCGUCUCGCUGGCAUCGACCAAAACGACAAACUUAUGGAGACCUAUAGAACACUUAUUAGCAAAGACUGUCCGUUCGAGGCGGUGAUCCAGCGCGACAUCGCGCGCACGUUCCCCGCGCACGACUUCUUCCGCGAGGCGGGCGGGCUCGGCCAGGACUCGCUGCUGCGGAUGGCGCGCGCGUACGCCGUCUACGACCACGAGGUCGGCUACUGCCAGGGACUGAGCUUCCUCGCCGCCACGCUGCUCCUACAUAUGCCGGAGGAGCAGGCGUUCUGCUUGCUAGUACGCCUUAUGUAUGGAUAUGGUUUACGUGAGUUAUACAAGGACGGUUUCGAGGCUCUAUACAUGAGGUUACAUCAGCUGGACAGGCUUAUGGAGGAACAACUGACAGAUCUCCGCGCACACUUCCUAGAGCUGGGCGUCGAGACGCACAUGUUCGCGUCGCAGUGGUUCCUAACAGUGUUCACCGCGCGGUUUCCCUUACCAUUGGUUUACCAUAUUUUGGACGUGUUCCUCUUGCAAGGCAUGGACACAUUAUUCCAAGUUGCGCUCGCUCUACUCUCACGUUCCAAAAAGGAUUUAUUAACACACGACUUCGAAGGAGUACUGAAAUAUUUUAGAGUGACUUUACCAAAGAAGUGCCGUGCAGAGGAGUCGUCGCGACAGAUCGUGAAACUGGCGUGUAGCACGAAAGUGAAACGAUUACAUAAGUAUCAAUUAGAAUACGAAAAGUUAGUUAAAGAGUCUGCCGAAAAAGAGAAGAUUAAUGUGGAAUUAGAAAGACUUAAAGGCAUAAAUACACAGCUACAGCAAGAUAAGGAUGCGCUGGAGUCGCAACUUAUAGAGGCGCGUAUAGCUUUGGACGAGGCUAGGAAAGACGUGUCGCACUUCACAGGCGUCGCGAGUGACUAUCGUGAGAUCUGCGCUAGACUCGACCGCCAGCUGCAUACUUUGCAGGAGUAUGCGAAGGAUUGUGUCAAUUGUAGCUUAAAGUUGGCACAAAAGGAUAACAAAGAAGAAUCGGAACAGGAAGGGGAUGAGAAGGAGGAGGGGUUUAGCGACACGGAGGCGCAGCUGCGGCAGCGCGUGCGCGAUCUAGAACUAGAACUCGCUCAAGUGAAGCUCGCACACGUGCAAGCUCAGUGCAGCAAUCAGGAACUGAGCCAUCAACUGAACUCAGCACUGAACGAAAUGCAAACGGCCAUGAACCAGCGACAGUCGGUAGCGCCCUGGCUCGUUCGCACACUCAAGUCGGACUAACGUCUCCUGAAACGCACCUAGUGUAACCUCGCCGUGCAAUGUAACAGUCAUUAACCCGAUGUAUCAAGUCACCAGUGUGGAGAUUCCAUCAUGGAAGCGACGCAGACACGACCCACUUUCCAAACGUACGUCCCGAGCACGAACCAAGAACAACCUCAAUUAAAUAGACAAGGCUCGUUCACUAAUAUACAGAGCAACAGCCAAGCGAAUCUAAA